UUGGGUUUUCAAGUUUAGGUUUAGGUUUAGGUUAGGGAGUUGAGAUUAGGGUUAGGUGUAGGUUUAGGUUUAGGUAUUUGAGAAUAGGUUAAGGUUUAGGUUUAGGAGAUCGGGGUCGGGUUCGGGAUCGGGUUUAGGCUUGGGUUUUCACGUUUAGGUUUAGGUUAAGUAGUUGAGAUUAGGACUAGGUGUAAGUUUAGGUUUAAGUAUUUGAGAAUACAUUUAGGUUAUAGGUUUAGGUUUAGGUUUAGGUUAUAGGUUUAGG